rnacentral:rRNA from 1 species
AGUACCGUGAGGGAAAGGUGAAAAGCACCCCGACGAGGGGAGUGAAAAAGACCUGAAACCGAAUGCCUACAAGCAGUCGGAGCCCGCAAGGGUGACGGCGUACCUUUUGUAUAAUGGGUCAGCGAGUUCGUCUGUGCAGCAAGCUUAAGCCGAUAGGCGUAGGCGAAGCGAAAGCGAGUCUGAAUAGGGCGAUUAAGUUGCACGGAUGAGACCCGAAACCGGGUGAUCUAGCCAUGGACAGGUUGAAGGUACGGUAACACGUACUGGAGGACCGAACCCACGCCUGUUGAAAAAGUCGGGGAUGAUCUGUGGUUAGGGGUGAAAGGCCAAUCAAACUCGGAAAUAGCUGGUUCUCCGCGAAAUCUAUUUAGGUAGAGCGUCGGACGUAUCGCCAUCGGGGGUAGAGCACCGGAUGGGCUAGGGGGGAGCGAUCCUUACCAAACCUAACCGAACUCCGAAUACCGAUGAGCGUAAUCCGGCUAGGCAGGCGGCGGGUGCUAAGAUCCGUCGCCGAGAGGGAAAUAGCCCAGACCGCCAGCUAAGGCCCCUAAAUCGUGGCUAAGUGUGAAAGGAUGUGGGAAGGCCAAGACAACCAGGAGGUUGGCUUAGAAGCAGCCAUCCUUUAAAGAAAGCGUAAUAGCUCACUGGUCUAGUCAAGCCAGCCUGCGCCGAAAAUGUAUCGGGGCUCAAGCCACGUGCCGAAGCUGCGGGUGUGUCCAGGGUAGCGUCCCAGGGCACGCGGUAGCGGAGCGUUCCGUAAGCCCGUGAAGGGAAUGGGCGACCAUUCCUGGAGGUAUCGGAAGUGCGAAUGCUGACAUGAGUAGCGAAAAGGAGUGUGAGAAACACUCCCGCCGAAAGUCCAAGGGUUCCUCGGCAAGGCUAAUCCGCCGAGGGUGAGCCGGCCCCUAAGAUGAGGGCGAAAGCCGUAAUCGAUGGGAACCAGGUUAAUAGUCCUGGGCCUGCCAGUGGUGACGAAUGGUGUAUGUCGUUGGGGCUUAUCGGAUUGCCCCGGCGGCGAAGCCGUUCCAGGAAAUAACCCUGGCGUAUAGACCGUACCCCAAACCGACACAGGUGGACUGGUAGAGUAUACCAAGGCGUUUGAGAGAACGGUGUUGAAGGAACUCGGCAAAUUGCUCGCGUAACUUCGGGAUAAGCGAGGCCUGCCCGCGCGCAAGCGUGGACGGGUGGCACAGAGCAGGGGGUAGCGACUGUUUACUAAAAACACAGGGCUCUGCGAACGCGUCUAGCGGACGUAUAGGGUCUGACGCCUGCCCGGUGCCGGAAGGUUAAGAGGAGAGGUGCAAGCCUUGAAUCGAAGCCCCGGUAAACGGCGGCCGUAACUAUAACGGUCCUAAGGUAGCGAAAUUCCUUGUCGGGUAAGUUCCGACCUGCACGAAUGGCGUAACGACUUCCCCACUGUCUCCAACACCGGCUCAGCGAAAUUGAAUUCUCCGUGAAGAUGCGGAGUACCCGCGGUUAGACGGAAAGACCCCGUGCACCUUUACUAUAGCUUUGCAGUGGCAUUAGGGAGCGGAUGUGUAGGAUAGGCGGGAGCCUAGGAAGCAUUGGCGCUAGCCAGUGUGGAGGCAACCUUGAAAUACCGCCCUUUUGUUCUCUGAUCUCUAACUGUGAUCCGUAAUCCGGAUCCGGGACCCUGCAUGGCGGGUAGUUUGACUGGGGCGGUCGCCUCCCAAAGAGUAACGGAGGCGCGCGAUGGUGGGCUCAAGCUGGUCGGACAUCAGCUGGUGAGUGCAAUGGCAUAAGCCCGCCUGACUGCGAGACUGACAAGUCGAGCAGAGACGAAAGUCGGUCAUAGUGAUCCGGUGGUUCCACGUGGAAGGGCCAUCGCUCAACGAAUAAAAGGUACGCCGGGGAUAACAGGCUGAUGACGCCCAAGAGUCCAUAUCGACGGCGUCGUUUGGCACCUCGAUGUCGGCUCAUC